rnacentral:piRNA from 1 species
UGCCCCUUUGUUCAGGUGUGCUCUCAUGGC